CGUCCACAUCCGGGCAUCCAUCGGGCCUGGGGGCGGAGCCGGUGGUCGGGUCGCGGCGACCCGCCGGGACCUUUUCCUCAGAGACGUGAGGAUUUGACGGGUGGAGUCACUCCGACACCUUUAAGACGGGGUGUGAUCGGUAGUCCAGAGCUUCCUGUUUCUUCAGUCUGACAGCUUCCAGUGUCCCAGGUUGUGCUCAAAGCCUUCCUCCUGUGAGAAGAAUCUCUGGUUGCCUGUUAAAGCGGUCAGCCAGCUUGCAACACGGAAGCAGCUUUUAGGGGAAUUAAAACCAAAGCAAGGAGCAAAUUCUGGAUUAAAGAGGAUGAAGAAACAUCCUGAGAAGGUUGACAUGCUGAAUGCCUUAAAGAGCUUCAAUUGAGAUGCCAGAUGAAAGCGUAACUAGAAUUUCUAUGGCUUAAAUAACGAGACACAUGACUGACCCAGCAUCUGUUCUUUUCCUAAUGAAUGAAGUACUGGGAGAGAAGGGUAGGUAUUUACUAUUUCCACUAUAUAACAGACUUAUCUUUAGGGAGUGAUUGUACAGAUAUCAAGAG
rnacentral:lncRNA from 1 species